rnacentral:RNase_P_RNA from 2 species
AGUUUCUACUGGGCGACUGCUUCUUUUUUGGCUGAACGAAGAGGAAGAGGAAAGUCCGGACACCAGGGAACCAAGGGACUGGGUAAUCACCAGUAUUUUGCUUGGAAUUUUGAAUUGGCGUCAAGGCUGGUUCUCAAAGAAAAGUAGGAUAGAUCAGUGCAACAGAAAAGAUACCGCCCAGCACCAUUUUACGCUGAGCUUUGCUCAGCUAAAUGGUGCUGGGUAAGGAUGAAAUGGUGGAGUAAGAGCCCACCGCCUCAACCGCGAGGAAGAGGGCAGGGUGCAUCUCCUGUGUGCAAUCUCAAGUAAACGGCCGUUUGUAGCAGGUUCCGCGAGGCCUAAGGGUAGAGAGCAAGUCUUAGAGAAAUGGGAACAUUGUUCUAAGUUAGAUAAAUAGUCGUCCUAGACAAAAUCCGGCUUAUAGGUAGGGACUUUCU